rnacentral:tRNA from 1 species
GCCUGGGUGGCUUAGUAGGUUAAGCGCCUGACUCUUGAUUACGGCUCAGGUCAUGAUCUCAUGGUUUGUGGGUUCGGGCCCCGCGUCGGGCU